rnacentral:rRNA from 1 species
GCUCAGGAUGAACGCUGGCGGCGCGCUUAACACAUGCAAGUCGAACGGAAAGGCUCCAGCUUGCUGGAGUACUCGAGUGGCGAACGGGUGAGUAACACGUGGGCAAUCUGCCCUGCACUCUGGGAUAAGCCUGGGAAACUGGGUCUAAUACUGGAUAGGACCUUUCUCCUCAUGGGGUUUGGUGGAAAGUUUUUCGGUGCAGGAUGAGCCCGCGGCCUAUCAGCUUGUUGGUGGGGUAAUGGCCUACCAAGGCGACGACGGGUAGCCGGCCUGAGAGGGUGAUCGGCCACAUUGGGACUGAGAUACGGCCCAGACUCCUACGGGAGGCAGCAGUA